AGUGAACGCUGGCGGUAGGCCUAACACAUGCAAGUCGAACGGCAGCACAGUAAGAGCUUGCUCUUACGGGUGGCGAGUGGCGGACGGGUGAGGAAUACAUCGGAAUCUACUUUUUCGUGGGGGAUAACGUAGGGAAACUUACGCUAAUACCGCAUACGACCUACGGGUGAAAGCAGGGGAUCUUCGGACCUUGCGCGAUUGAAUGAGCCGAUGUCGGAUUAGCUAGUUGGCGGGGUAAAGGCCCACCAAGGCGACGAUCCGUAGCUGGUCUGAGAGGAUGAUCAGCCACACUGGAACUGAGACACGGUCCAGACUCCUACGGGAGGCAGCAGUGGGGAAUAUUGGACAAUGGGCGCAAGCCUGAUCCAGCCAUACCGCGUGAGUGAAGAAGGCCUUCGGGUUGUAAAACCCUUUUGUUGGGAAAGAAAAGCAGCAGGUUAAUACCCCGCUGUUCUGACGGUACCCAAAGAAUAAGCACCGGCUAACUUCGUG
rnacentral:rRNA from 1 species